UACGUAGGGGGCUAGCGUUGUCCGGAUUUAUUGGGCGUAAAGAGCGUGUAGGCGGCCAGGUAGGUCUGCUGUGAAAACUCGAGGCUUAACCUCGAGCUGUCGGCGGAAACCACUUGGCUAGAGUCCGGAAGAGGAGAGUGGAAUUCCUGGUGUAGCGGUGAAAUGCGCAGAUAUCAGGAAGAACACCUAUGGCGAAGGCAGCUCUCUGGGACGGUACUGACGCUGAGACGCGAAAGCGUGGGGAGCGAACAGG
rnacentral:rRNA from 1 species